GACGAACGCUGGCGGCGUGCUUAACACAUGCAAGUCGAACGGAAAGGCCCUGCUUUUGUGGGGUGCUCGAGUGGCGAACGGGUGAGUAACACGUGAGUAACCUGCCCUUGACUUUGGGAUAACUUCAGGAAACUGGGGCUAAUACCGGAUAGGAGCUCCUGCUGCAUGGUGGGGGUUGGAAAGUUUCGGCGGGUGGGGAUGGACUCGCGGCUUAUCAGCUUGUUGGUGGGGUAGUGGCUUACCAAGGCUUUGACGGGUAGCCGGCCUGAGAGGGUGACCGGCCACAUUGGGACUGAGAUACGGCCCAGACUCCUACGGGAGGCAGCAGUGGCGAAUAUUGCACAAUGGGCGGAAGCCUGAUGCAGAAACGCCGCGUGCGGGAUGACGGCCUUCGGGUUGUAAACCGCUUUCGCCUGUGACGAAGCGUGAGUGACGGUAAUGGGUAAAGAAGCACCGGCUAACUACGUG
rnacentral:rRNA from 1 species